rnacentral:rRNA from 1 species
GAUGAACGCUAGCGGCAGGCCUAAUACAUGCAAGUCGAACGGGAUCCAGAUCAAAGCUUGCUUUGGUUUGGUGAGAGUGGCGUACGGGUGCGUAACGCGUGAGCAACCUACCCUUGUCAGGGGGAUAGCCCGGCGAAAGUCGGAUUAAUACCGCAUGACAUCAUUGAGAGGCAUCUUUCGAUGAUCAAAGAUUUAUCGGACAAGGAUGGGCUCGCGUGACAUUAGCUAGUUGGUAAGGUAACGGCUUACCAAGGCUACGAUGUCUAGGGGCUCUGAGAGGAGAAUCCACCACACUGGUACUGAGACACGGACCAGACUCCUACGGGAGGCAGCAGUAAGGAAUAUUGGUCAAUGGACGGAAGUCUGAACCAGCCAUGCCGCGUGCAGGAAGACGGCCCUAUGGGUUGUAAACUGCUUUUAUACGGGAACAAACGUCGGUACGUGUACCGGUCUGAGUGUACCGUAAGAAUAAGGAUCGGCUAACUCCGUG